rnacentral:rRNA from 1 species
CCUACGGGUGGCAGCAGUAGGGAAUAUUGCACAAUGGGGGAAACCCUGAUGCAGCAACGCCGCGUGAGUGAAGAAGGUAUUCGGUAUGUAAAGCUCUAUCAGCAGGGAAGAAAAUGACGGUACCUGAGUAAGAAGCCCCGGCUAACUACGUGCCAGCAGCCGCGGUAAUACGUAGGGGGCAAGCGUUAUCCGGAUUUACUGGGUGUAAAGGGGGCGUAGGCGGGAUUGCAAGUCUGGAGUGAAAGGCGGGGGCUCAACCACCGGACUGCUCUGGAAACUGUACGGCUGGAGUGCAGGAGAGGUAAGUGGAAUUCCUGGUGUAGCGGUGAAAUGCGUAGAUAUUAGGAGGAACACCAGUGGCGAAGGCGGCUUACUGGACUGUAACUGACGCUGAGGCUCGAAAGCGUGGGGAGCAAACAGGAUUAGAUACCCUAGUAGUC